UACGUAGGGCGCAAGCGUUGUCCGGAAUUAUUGGGCGUAAAGGGCGCGUAGGCGGCCGAUCAAGUCGGGGGUGAAAGCCUGUGGCUCAACCACAGAAUUGCCUUCGAUACUGUUUGGCUUGAGACCGGAAGAGGUUAGUGGAACUGCGAGUGUAGAGGUGAAAUUCGUAGAUAUUCGCAAGAACACCAGUGGCGAAGGCGGCUGACUGGUCCGGUUCUGACGCUGAGGCGCGAAAGCGUGGGGAGCAAACAGG
rnacentral:rRNA from 1 species